CAGCAGAGAAGAUCAUCAGAGUCUCUCUCCCCUCUAUUAAGGACAUCUACACCACACGCUGCAUCCGCAAAGCCACCAGCAUUGUGGCUGAUCGGACACACCCCUCUUACACACUCUUCACACUCCUGCCAUCUGGAAAAAGCACCUUGGCCCUGGAGGAACGCUGUUUCGCCUCACUGUGUACAAACUGUAUAUGGCUGAAGUGACAAUAAAGCCAACUUGACUUGACUUGACUUGAC